AUCUCAAAGCUCACUCUGUGCAGAAUCUCUGAGAAGUCUAAUAUAAACUGAAUGAGGAUGAUGUGCAGACCAGGCCUGGGCCACAGACACUGGGCAUAUGUGUUGGAUUCUCAAUUCAGGACUGAGGAAAAUCAAACACAAAGAUGAUAUAUAUGGAGCUUCGCUCUUGUUCCCCAAGCUGAAGUGCACUGGCAUGAUCUCAGCUCACCGCAACCUCUGCCUCCUGGGUUCAAAGAAUCUUGCUCUGUUGCCCCGGCUGGAGUACCGUGAUGCAAUCUCAGCUCACUGCAACCUCUGCCUCCCAGGUUCAAGCAAUUCUUGUGCCUCAGCUUCCCAAGAAGCUGGGACUACAGGCGCCUGCCACUACACCUGACUAAUUUUUAUACUAUUAGUAGAGACAGGGUCUUGCCAUGUUGGGCAGGCUGGUCUUGAACUCCUGACCUCAAGUGAUCCUCCUGGCUUAGCCUCCCAAAGCGCUGGGAUUACAGGCAUGAGCCACUGCGCCCAGCCUCAAUGCCAUUUUAUUACAUGUCUUUCCCCUUGGCUGAGGAGAAGAGGCAACAGGGACAGAAGAGAUGUUGCUGUGAUCUGUGCUGGUGAAGGAGGCAGCACAGAAGGGACAGUGAGGUGGGAGAGGAGCAGGAGGUCUCAGGUAGCCCCAUUGAGCUGGGAAAUGCAUGUUCUCUCAGCACACCUCUAUAAGGAUGAGAAGCAGGGCACUGUAAGCUAUAAAUAAAUUCUUCCUCCUCCUCCUUGAGGAGGCUCAGUAUAAAUGAAUUAGGAGAUGUGGACAUUAUUAAUAAAGGAAAUUUUGAAUUUCUUUUGAAGUAUGUGAAUAUGUGUUUCAAAAUAAUGCAAACAAUCUUAAUAUGUAAUGAUGCUAGUGUUCACUUCCAGGACCUACAGAUGUGAGAAAUUGCAUCAUUUCCCAUGAGUCACCCACCAUUUCUCAAUGAACAGCAUGGGUUGUAACCUUUCAAAGGACUCCAUCUUACUAAGAUGGGGUAAUUCUCAGGUUCUCCAUUGAUUCUCAUUUCCAUAAGUAUCAUCACGAGUUUAUAAAAGAACAAUUAACAAGAGUGAUAUGGUUUGGCUCUGUGUCCCCACCCAAGUCUCAUGUUGAACUGUAAUUCUCAAUGCUGGGGGAGGGACCUGGUGGGAGGUAGCUAGAUCACAGAGGUAGAUUUCUCCCAUGAUAUUCCCACGAUAAUGAGUUCUCAGGAGAUCUGAUGGUUUAAAAGUAUGUGGCACGUCCCCUGUCGCUCUCACUCUCUCUCUCCCCUGCUGCCAUGUGAAGCCCGCUCCUGUUUCCCCUUCACCUUCUGCCAUGCUUGUUAAGUUUCCUGAGGGCUCCCAGUCAUGCUUCCUAUAUAGCCUGUGGAACUGUGAGUCAAUUAAACCUCUUUUCUUCAUAAAUUACCCAGUCUCAGGUAAUUAUAGCAGUGUGAGAAUGUACUAACACUAAGAGACACCAUGCUCUUCUACUCCAAAACUUUUCUAAAAUCAUUGGCUUUGAUCCUGGAAGUUUAAAUAUCUCUCGCUACAUUUUUAAAGAAAUGCAUUGAGGAUGAAGUGAAGAUACAUGGAGCUUGUGGCUACUCACAUCUGUGAAGGGUGCACAAGAUAGAUGCUAGGAUGCAAAUCUGAGUCAAGGCAAUCGAUGUUUGUGAAAAUACCCACAUUCCUUUAUUAACUGCCUUUUUAUUUUGAGACAGAGUCUCGCUCUGUCACCCAGGCUGGAGUGCAGUGGCGCGAUCUUGGCUCACUGCAACCUCCACCUCCCAGGUUCAAGGGAUUCUUCUGCCUCAGCCUCCUGAGUAGCUCGGACUACAGGACUGUGCUACCACGCCUGGCUAAUUUUUGUAUUUUUGUAGAGAUGGGGCUUCAAUGUAGAGAUGGGGCUUCACUGUAGAGAUGGGGCUUCACCAUGAUGGCCAGGCUGGUCUCAAACUCCUGACCUCAAGUGAUCCUCCCACCCUGGCCUCCCAAAGUGCUGGGAUUAAAGGUGUGAGCCACGGCACCCAGCCAAUUAUCAACUUUAAAGCGACUUUGCUGACUCUCUAGCUUGAAAUAUCCUAGAACUCUGCUGUAAUACUUUAUUUCACUGAAGGUCUAAAUGCCAUCUGAAGCUUGUACCAUGCUGCUGCCUCAAAAUGCUUUGAAACGAACUUGCAUUGUGUUCAAAAAUAUUCACUUCUAUUAUUUAAUUGCCCUGAUGUAUGCUUCAUAUAUUACAACAGUGUUUGCUAUCCCCACUUGACAAAGGUUCCACUAAAACGACAGUACCGUUCUUCAGAAAUGUCUUAAAAGUCUCUGCAAGUCAAUUACGUACAAAAAACUAAAGAUUUUGUUUCAGAGACAAGACAAAAGGUGUUGAAGGGGAGGAGAUUUUUAGCUUGAAAACUUCAAGUAUGAUUCACUUUGAAGAGAAAUUCUUACUAGCUCACUCAUUUCCUCAGAAUUACUCACAGAAACAAGCACUUACCAACCAAGACAACGAGUCUGUAUUUUUCAUUAGUUUGUCGCCGAUACGGUGUCACUUCUUCGUAUGUGGGUACGUCAGCUGUGUCGUACUGAUCACUCUUCUUGCAUUCAUACAUGGAUUUAUUUGUUUUCUUAUCUUUUCUACUAAGACGAAAACUUUUUCUAAAACCAGCUGCAAAUAUUAAAAUAAAUAUAUUUUUAGUAACAUCAACCAAAAAAGAAACCCUCAAAAAAAAAAAACCCUCAGAGUUGGGUUGGAUUUUAUUUACCAUAAUAUUGGGUUUUUAAAGUUAAAACCCUAAUGUUUUAGAGACAGGGUCUCACUCUGUUGCCCAACCUGGAGAGCAGUGGCGCCAUCACAGCUUACUGCAGUGUUGAACUCCUGGGCUCAAGCGAUCCUCCCACCUCAGGCUCCCAGGCAGGUGGGAUUACAGGCACACAUCACCACGGCUGGUUAAUUUUUAAAAUACUUUGUAGAGACAGGGUCUUGCUACGUUGCCCAGGCUGGUUUGAACUGCUGGCCUCAAGCAAUCCCCCCAGUUUAGCUUCCCAAAGUGUUGGGAUUACAGGCAUGAGCCACUGUGCCUGGCCUAUUCAUCAUAAUAUUGUUAGAAAUGCAUUCAGUAAGAAAAAAAUAAUAGUACACAAUUUUAUAAAAACAAUAACUUAGAUUUAAUAUUUAUUUAUGUAGUUAUAAUAAUGUAAAUUUUAUUUGGUUUAAACAAUAAAGAGCUCUGUUGAAAAAUCAUUGAGUAAAAUAACUAUAAUAAAGCAAAAUAAGUCAAAAAUCAUAAUUUAUCAAGAACUGAUUGGUAAACACAUUUGAUAUGAAAAAGUUAAAAACACUGUAAAAGCAUUUUAAAUGUAAACAAUAAGUUCUCUCAUUCAUGAACAUGAACAAAGUUUCUAUUACAUCCUAAGCAUAACCUCACAACGUACCCAUGGCACAGGCAGCAUCUAUUGUUAAACAAAAAGAAAACUAAAUUAGGGAGUGUGUAGUGUAGCGUGUGCUUAUGCGUCAGUCAGGCUGACAGAACAAAGCUCACCCAGUCAACAAUUAGUUGAUCUUCAGCAAGUCAGUUAACUUUAACUGGACUCCAGGGGAUGGAAUAAAUCAUCAAGCCUCAGGUUCUUUUCUCUAAUGGAAAUUCUAUGCUUUCAUAAUGUGACACAUAUGAAAUUAAGAAAUAGAGCCAGCCACGGUGGCUCAUGCCUAUAAUCCCAGCACUUUGGGAAGCCAAGGAAGGAGGGCAGAUCGCUUGAGCCCAGGAGUUUAAGACCAGGUGGGGCAACAUGGAGAAACCCCAUCUCUACUAAAAAUACAAAAAAAUUAGCUAAGUGGUGGUGCACACAUGUAAUCUCAGC
rnacentral:lncRNA from 1 species